ensembl:ncRNA Y76A2B.10 ncRNA
AUUUUGGAACUAAAAAAAGUAGGACUUAAAUAUGUAAAAUGUUAAUACUCCAAAUUUUCAAACGUUUGGCA